AAAGUCGUAACAAGGUUUCCGUUGGUGAACCAGCGGAAGGAUCAUUACAGAGAUCAUGCCCUCACGGGUAGACCUCCCACCCUGUGUUAUUUACUAUUGUUGCUUUGGCAGGCCGCCCUCGUGGCCCGUGGCUUCGGCCGUGGAGUGCUUGCCAGAGGACCCAACCCUUUUGUUUACGUGUCGUCUGAGUACUAUAUAAUAAGUUAAAACUUUCAACAACGGAUCUCUUGGUUCUG
rnacentral:misc_RNA from 1 species